GCGCAGUCAGAAGUAGAUAAAUUAGCGAUAUCAGUCUCACGUUAGGCUAGUGAUAUUGCAUCUUUGGGUGAAGUAAUCUAGGAAUCUACUUAACAGAAACAAGAGAGAAAAGUGAACAGGAAAAAAAUGGAGAAAUUGUUACUUGGUUUAACGUUGACAAAGAAAGAAUUGAAGGAUACAAUUACGGUUUCCUGGAAGGAAGGGAGUUUUCUUGGAAUUGGAGGGGACCAGUUUCAAAUCUACGAUCUUUAUGAAUAUGAAACGAAUAGCGAAGAUAUUCUUCCCGUGUUCAUACAAAAAGAUUUUAACAAACCCGAUAAAAUCGUUUGCGAUUUGUAUAUUCAAUAUGGGAUAUGCAACGGAGUGCUUUUUCUGGUUUAUCACGACAAGAAACAGAAACCAUAUCAACAUCGCUUCGUUUCCAGUCAGAUGCAAAAGUCAACAAAUUCACUAAACACAUUGGUAAAUAAGCUUGGUCUGGAGUGGGCUGUUGGAGAAUAUCUCCGUGAUAUAUAAACAACAGUUUUGUGUGUUCUGAUAUUCUGUGGCAUGGAGCUUUAUCUAUAAUGACAUUAUGUCUAAAACGAAACGUUUGAGUUAGUUAAAUAGCAAUGAACCUUUUUCCUCUUUGUAUCUUUUCAGAAAGCAUUAUUUGUGUGUUUAAACUUACCAGAAAAACAUCACAUAAAAGAGAUGUUGAAAUUAGUGUUUGUGUCUACACCAUAAUGCAAACUUCUAUCACAUUGAAAUACCAUUUGAAGUAUUAAGAUACUAAAUAAUUCAAAUAUAAUGUAGUAAGUUACUGUUC
rnacentral:lncRNA from 1 species